rnacentral:rRNA from 1 species
GUAGGGUGCAAGCGUUAUCCGGAAUCAUUGGGCGUAAAGCGUUCGUAGGUGGUUUAGAAAGUUUGUAGUUAAAUCUGGUCGCUCAACGAUCAAAUCGCUGCAAAAACUCCUAAACUAGAGAUUGGCAGAGGCAACUGGAAUUCCACAUGUAGGGGUAAAAUCCGUUGAUAUGUGGAGGAACACCAAAAGCGAAGGCAGGUUGCUGGGCCAUUUCUGACGCUGAGGAACGAAAGCGUGGGGAGCAAACAGGAUUAGAUACCCUGGUAGUCCACGCCGUAAACGAUGGAUACUCGAUGUAGGGAGGAAUCGACCCCCUCUCUGUGUCCAAGCUAACGCGUUAAGUAUCCCGCCUGGGGGAGUACGGUCGCAAGAUUA